rfam:Chelonia mydas contig106928, whole genome shotgun sequence.
GGAAGCAUGGCACAGUGGUUAGGGCACCAGCCUAGGAUGCAGGAGAUGUGGGGUCAAAUCCUUCUUCUGCUA